CUCAAAGUAUUGGCAUUGACUACAGACAUGAUAGACGUGACAUCGGAAAGGGUUUCGUGUUUCACGUUCUGAAAUACCGACCUCGAAAAAAAUCAUAGUGCUUUUCAUGCCCUCUACAAUUUAUAACGUUGUGGUUAAUUACCUAUGAUAAUUAAUUAUGUAUGUAUGUUAUUUGUUUGAACGGCAAAUAAAACAUUAGUCAACGCUCGAAUAGAUAAACUUCUGGUCAUUGAAUUCUACAUCUACUACUAUUGCAUGAAUGGAAAAUUGUAAGUACAUAGUAAAGAAAUAAGUAUCUGUCGCACGACAGGUUCAAAUAAAUGGAAGUCAACCGCACAUUAAAUGUAAAUUAUAGACAUUGUUGUAUAAAAUAACGUAAGUAAUUAAAUUAAUAAUUGAACCAAAACAAUACUUUAACGUAAUCUUAUAUUAGAGGGUAAAACAGAGUUGUCUUUGUAAAAACAUAUUAGAUUUAUAUAUCUGACAGAUAAUUGUUGAACAAUGGUAUAUGCUUACAAUUUAGUUAAGAAAAUGUACAAAUUGUUCUAAAAUAUUAUGGUGGGUCGUAAAAAUCACAAAUCUAGUGAUAGAGUAAUGAAUUUCAAUUUAUUCCAUGCCGAGAUUUAUGUAAGAAUCUAAUAUGUACAACUUAAUACGAUGACUUACAUCCUCUUCGUCGUCGAUUUUCAUGGAAUGCUGAUUUGCAAACUGCAAAUAUUUCGGUUUUUGCUGACGUUUUUUCAGAAACGAUACAGUCUCAAGUCGUCGAUCCAUUUGCAAAACUCAUAUUCUUCGUAUCAAUUUUCACCAUGAUCAUUCAUCAUUCUACAGAUUAUAUAUUUUACAGCGCGAUACUUUCUUCCUUCGUAUUUGUUUCCAUUCCACGAAUUAAUUGUUGGCAAUUUGCUUCCAUGAGUCUAUCGAAAGAUUGUUUUAUCUGGAAAUUCGCCAUCUGACGGGGCCGUGUUUUUUUUGCGAUUCAGAGGUAUCAUAUUAUCCACAUUUUUUAAUAUUACACAUUUUAUCUGUUCGUAAAAUCUUAUGUACUUAUAUAUGUCAUUUAAUUAAUAGUAAUUAAAUUCAUAAUAAAAAAAGAUAUAAAACAAAAUUUCAUAUUGGUAUUAAGAUGGCGAAAAAGAGACUUCGGAUAAUGAGGAUGAAAUGAAAAAAUGAAAUGAAAGAAAAUGAAACGAUUUGGCCGGAAUCUAGCUUUUCUCACUUCAAUACAAAUAAUGUGUUCGCGUCUAAUUUGCAUAAUAAACGUGUAAACAAUAGAUGUCUUCGAUCAAUCAUAGAAUUGAAUGUCUAUGUUUAACGAUGUCUAUGGUUGUUGGAAAAGCCAUAUAAUUUCGCUUGUUCUGCUAAGAUUGUUAUCUAUAACUUGAAACAAAAUAACUAGCUAGCGAAAAAUAUAUUCUUACAUUUUAUAUUUUAUCUAUAUGUAUUCUGACAAUAGCUAACAUUUAAAAAAUGAAUAAGACAAUCGUCGUUUAGAAAGCAAACAUUUAUUCAAACGCGUGACAUACGGCAACUUGGAAAAAACUUUGUAUCGCAGUACUUCUUAACUACGUUUUAUGUAUAAAAAUAGUUUUUCUCAAGUUAGUUUCUCAAGUUAGUUAAGUAAUUUAAUUAAUUUAAUUAAUUUAAUUAUUGCGAUCUUGAAGAUGCCGUCGACUGUCUUAAUUAAUGUUCCAUUAUGAAACUUAGGAGCUUCUGUCCUCGGUUAUUCUGCGAGUAAAACAUAUACUGGAUAUCUUGAAGAAGAACCGACUGUGUCAUUCAUGUCAGGGAACGAAAGAGGAUAAAAAAUCAUCCAUUGGUCAGACGUGUCGCAUGUUUUCGGUACAGGUCUCACAAUUUCUAGGAAGAAUUCGUAAUUGUAUAUGACUGAUUCCAAUACUCUCGGUUCGUUUAACACAGAUUUAAAAGCGUGAAACGAACGAAAUACUUUAGCUCCUAACGUCAAAUAUUAAUUUUAUUUUGAAGCUGACAUCGUACGAUAAAGCAGAAAUGGCGAAAUGCAACGACUAUUUGGCAUGGUACCAAAGUGGGCGCAUCCAGCGGGCUUUUUUGUGACGUCAAGGAUGGACUUUGUUGUUUCAUAUCCUCGGAAAGAGCCGGUGGAACGUUAAACUCCUUUUAAAAGUAGCUCAUUUCUUAAAUACGUUGAAACGUUCUUCAUGGCGAAUCGACUUUUUGGAAAAGCAAAUUGUGUUCUUUUAUCUUCAGGCUGAAAGCUAUUUCAUGCUUGUCCAGAAUCGGAAUUACCCUUGCACAAGCGACUAUGCCGUAGAUAGCCAGAAAAGUAUGAAAAGAGAAUUUAUGAAGUUCGUGGUGUCCUUACACUAAUCAUUCUUUCGUGUCAGUACCUCUUAAGUACAGAACCAUACAAAUUGAAAAAUAUUCGUUCACAUGAAUUUAAAUCUAAUUUAAAUUCGCCGGUGAAAAGUAGAUUAUAUAAAAUAACCAUUUGAUUACACCUUCUGGUCUUAAAUU